GUGGGCGUAGCUCAGUUGGAAGAGCGACGGGUUGUGGUCCCGUAGGUCGAGGGUUCGAGCCCCUUCGCCCACC
rnacentral:tRNA from 1 species